rnacentral:tRNA from 1 species
ACUUAAAUAAUUUAAAUAAAAUAUUGAUUUGUGGUGUCAAAAAUGUGAAUUGGUUCAUUUUAAGUU